rnacentral:rRNA from 1 species
UGCAAGUCGAGGGGUAGAGGAAGCUUGCUUCCUUGAGACCGGCGCACGGGUGCGUAACGCGUAUGCAAUCUGCCUUGUACUGAGGGAUAGCCCAGAGAAAUUUGGAUUAAUACCUCAUAGCAUUAUGAAAUCGCAUGGUUUUAUAAUUAAAGUUCCAACGGUACAAGAUGAGCAUGCGUCCCAUUAGUUAGUUGGUAAGGUAACGGCUUACCAAGACGAUGAUGGGUAGGGGUCCUGAGAGGGAGAUCCCCCACACUGGUACUGAGACACGGACCAGACUCCUACGGGAGGCAGCAGUGAGGAAUAUUGGUCAAUGGACGCAAGUCUGAACCAGCCAUGCCGCGUGCAGGAUGAAGCAUCUAUGGUGUGUAAACUGCUUUUGUACGGGAAGAAACACUCCUACGUGUAGGAACUUGACGGUACCGUAAGAAUAAGGAUCGGCUAACUCCGUGCCAGCAGCCGCGGUAAUACGGAGGAUCCAAGCGUUAUCCGGAAUCAUUGGGUUUAAAGGGUCCGUAGGCGGCUUUAUAAGUCAGUGGUGAAAGCCCAUCGCUUAACGAUGGAACGGCCAUUGAUACUGUAGAGCUUGAAUUACUUGGAAGUAACUAGAAUAUGUAGUGUAGCGGUGAAAUGCUUAGAUAUUACAUGGAAUACCAAUUGCGAAGGCAGGUUACUACAAGUGGAUUGACGCUGAUGGACGAAAGCGUGGGGAGCGAACAGGAUUAGAUACCCUGGUAGUCCACGCCGUAAACGAUGGAUACUAGCUGUUCGGAGCAAUCUGAGUGGCUAAGC